GCCAGACUCCUACGGGAGGCAGCAGUGGGGGAUAUUGCACAAUGGGGGGAACCCUGAUGCAGCGACGCCGCGUGGGUGAAGAAGCGCCUCGGCGCGUAAAGCCCUGUCAGCAGGGAAGAAAAUGACGGUACCUGAAGAAGAAGCCCCGGCUAACUACGUGCCAGCAGCCGCGGUAAUACGUAGGGGGCAAGCGUUAUCCGGAUUUACUGGGUGUAAAGGGAGCGUAGACGGCAGAGCAAGUCUGGAGUGAAAGCCCGGGGCCCAACCCCGGGACUGCUCUUGGAACUGCGCGGCUGGAGUGCAGGAGGGGCAGGCGGAAUUCCUGGUGUAGCGGUGAAAUGCGUAGAUAUCAGGAGGAACACCGGUGGCGAAGGCGGCCUGCUGGACUGCGACUGACGUUGAGGCCCGAAAGCGUGGGGAGCAAACAGGAUUAGAUACCCGCGUAUC
rnacentral:rRNA from 1 species